GACAGAGGUGCCGAGCGUUAGGCGGAAUCACUGGGCUUAAAGCGUGUGUAGGCGGGUCGUUAAGUACCUUGUGAAAUCCCCCGGCUCAACCGGGGAACGGCUGGGUAUACUGGCGAUCUUGAGCCACCUAGGGGCAGUCGGAACAAGUGGUGGAGCGGUGAAAUGCGUAGAUAUCACUUGGAACGCCAAUGGUGAAAACAGACUGCUGGGGUGUGACUGACGCUGAGACACGAAGCCAGGGGAGCAAACGGG
rnacentral:rRNA from 1 species